GAUGAACGCUGGCGGCGUGCCUAAUACAUGCAAGUCGAGCGAACGGACGAGAAGCUUGCUUCUCUGAUGUUAGCGGCGGACGGGUGAGUAACACGUGGAUAACCUACCUAUAAGACUGGGAUAACUUCGGGAAACCGGAGCUAAUACCGGAUAAUAUUUUGAACCGCAUGGUUCAAAAGUGAAAGACGGUCUUGCUGUCACUUAUAGAUGGAUCCGCGCUGCAUUAGCUAGUUGGUAAGGUAACGGCUUACCAAGGCAACGAUGCAUAGCCGACCUGAGAGGGUGAUCGGCCACACUGGAACUGAGACACGGUCCAGACUCCUACGGGAGGCAGCAGUAGGGAAUCUUCCGCAAUGGGCGAAAGCCUGACGGAGCAACGCCGCGUGAGUGAUGAAGGUCUUCGGAUCGUAAAACUCUGUUAUUAGGGAAGAACAUAUGUGUAAGUAACUGUGCACAUCUUGACGGUACCUAAUCAGAAAGCCACGGCUAACUACGUGCCAGCAGCCGCGGUAAUACGUAGGUGGCAAGCGUUAUCCGGAAUUAUUGGGCGUAAAGCGCGCGUAGGCGGUUUUUUAAGUCUGAUGUGAAAGCCCACGGCUCAACCGUGGAGGGUCAUUGGAAACUGGAAAACUUGAGUGCAGAAGAGGAAAGUGGAAUUCCAUGUGUAGCGGUGAAAUGCGCAGAGAUAUGGAGGAACACCAGUGGCGAAGGCGACUUUCUGGUCUGUAACUGACGCUGAUGUGCGAAAGCGUGGGGAUCAAACAGGAUUAGAUACCCUGGUAGUCCACGCCGUAAACGAUGAGUGCUAAGUGUUAGGGGGUUUCCGCCCCUUAGUGCUGCAGCUAACGCAUUAAGCACUCCGCCUGGGGAGUACGACCGCAAGGUUGAAACUCAAAGGAAUUGACGGGGACCCGCACAAGCGGUGAAGCAUGUGGUUUAAUUCGAAGCAACGCGAAGAACCUUACCAAAUCUUGACAUCCUUUGACAACUCUAGAGAUAGAGCUUUCCCCUUCGGGGGACAAAGUGACAGGUGGUGCAUGGUUGUCGUCAGCUCGUGUCGUGAGAUGUUGGGUUAAGUCCCGCAACGAGCGCAACCCUUAAGCUUAGUUGCCAUCAUUAAGUUGGGCACUCUAAGUUGACUGCCGGUGACAAACCGGAGGAAGGUGGGGAUGACGUCAAAUCAUCAUGCCCCUUAUGAUUUGGGCUACACACGUGCUACAAUGGACAAUACAAAGGGCAGCGAAACCGCGAGGUCAAGCAAAUCCCAUAAAGUUGUUCUCAGUUCGGAUUGUAGUCUGCAACUCGACUACAUGAAGCUGGAAUCGCUAGUAAUCGUAGAUCAGCAUGCUACGGUGAAUACGUUCCCGGGUCU
rnacentral:rRNA from 1 species